CGCUGACCUCAGGCAGUGGACACCUGUCAGAUUCAUCCCACCAGACGUGAAUCUUGCUGCUCAUCAAGGCCCUGGGGACCCAAUACCAAAGGGAGUGGCCCCGCCCAGAGGCAGCCUUGACUGCACUGAUGCCUCCGCUGACCCAGCCACCAAGCCCAGGCCAUCAGAGCUGGGCUCCAGGGCCUGUUCAUCCUCAGCCAUCACUACAGCUCCUCCCAGCUCCACCUCCACCUCCCGGCACCCAGGCCACACCCACGAGAUGACAGCAUCUGAGGACAGCAGAAGAGCUGGAAAUGACGGCCCCGGAGGUGUUAGAAACUGACGAGAGAAGAAGCAGUUAUGAUUUUUCAUCAUCUUACCUCCCACUGGACCCUGGAAGCUAUGACAAGCAUAACCGUGGUUUGAAAAGCCCAGCAAA